rnacentral:rRNA from 1 species
CAGUAGCCGCGGGAAUACGUAGGUGGCAAGCGUUGUCCGGAACUAUUGGGCGUAAAGGGCUCGCAGGCGGUUUCUUAAGUCUGAUGUGAAAGCCCCCGGCUCAACCGGGGAGGGUCAUUGGAAACUGGGAAACUUGAGUGCAGAAGAGGAGAGUGGAAUUCCACGUGUAGCGGUGAAAUGCGUAGAGAUGUGGAGGAACACCAGUGGCGAAGGCGACUCUCUGGUCUGUAACUGACGCUGAGGAGCGAAAGCGUGGGGAGCGAACUGGAUUAGAUACCCGCGUAGUCCCUGUCUCUUAUAC